rnacentral:rRNA from 1 species
UUUAAUUCGAUGCAACGCGAAGAACCUUACCUGCUCUUGACAUCCCACUGACCGGACAGUAAUGUGUCCUUUCCUUCGGGACAGUGGUGACAGGUGGUGCAUGGUUGUCGUCAGCUCGUGUCGUGAGAUGUUGGGUUAAGUCCCGCAACGAGCGCAACCCUUGUCUUUAGUAGCCAGCAGUUCGGCUGGGCACUCUAGAGAGACUGCCAGGGAUAACCUGGAGGAAGGCGGGGAUGACGUCAAAUCAUCAUGCCCCUUACGAGCAGGGCUACACACGUGCUACAAUGGCGUAAACAAAGGGAAGCGACCCCGCGAGGGUAAGCAAAUCUCAAAAAUAACGUCUCAGUUCGGAUCGUAGUCUGCAACUCGACUACAUGAAGCUGGAAUCGCUAGUAAUCGCGAAUCAGAAUGUCG